AUUAUCCUUCUUUUUUGGCUCAAAGGCUACAUUGCUUUACAGUUUUUGAUGCCAGCUGGAGCAGAUAUUCAUUCCAAAACAUCUGACAACUAUGCUUUACUGUCAGAAUAUAUUAUUCAGAAGUUGAAACAGGUCUGUUCAAUGUGGAUUAAAGCAGAGACAUCCCAGGUAGUUGGAGAAGGGUUCUUCACCCACCACUGCACAUCUCCGUGGCAGGUGCACUCAGCUCUCCUCGUGCUCAGAGCAGUGACAGAACUGCCCUGGGGAGGCCAUUCACCACACUUUGGAUGAUGAGAGACCACCAAAAAUGCCCAUGGCUUUUGAAGGGAUCCACAUUAUUUUACAGGGGGGUGCCUGCAAUCACUGAGAGACAGUUACCAAAAGAGCCACCAAGGUGCUAUAAACCCAAAGGCAGGUGGAGAAAUGUGAGUUGGCAUCAAAUCUUGCAGGAUCUGUGCCAGAUCUCCAGCUGAUUAAACUUGCAAACCUUUAUCAGCAUCCCUGGCAACAAGGAUGCCUGAUACACUUGAAAUCAAGAUGUUUGUGAAGUACCUACUGAGGAUUCCCAGUGGGUCUAGAGGCUCCACCCUGGAAAAG
ensembl:lncRNA